rnacentral:rRNA from 1 species
AUUGAACGCUGGCGGCAGGCCUAACACAUGCAAGUCGAACGCGUGUCUCACGGGUGAGUAAUGUCUGUGAAACUGUUCCAUGUAGGGGGAUAUCUCUUGUAAACGGGAUAUAAUAUCGCAUACCCUAUGAUGUGCCCCGAUGGGAUUAGCUUGUAGGUGUGGUAACGGCUCACAUAGGCGACGAUCCCUAGCUGGUCUGUGAGGAUGACCAGCCACACUGGGACUGAGACACGGUCCAGACGCCUACGGGAGGCAGCAGUGGGGAAUAUUGCACAAGGGGCGCAAGCCUGAUGCAGCCAUGCCGCGUGUAUGAAGAAGGCCUUCGGGUUGUAAAGUACUUUCAGCGGGGAGGCGUUACCCGCAGAAGAAGCACCGGCUAACUCCGUGCCAGCCGCCGCGGUAAUAC